rnacentral:rRNA from 1 species
UAAUACGUAGGGUGCAAGCGUUGUCCGGAAUUAUUGGGCGUAAAGGGCUCGUAGGCGGUCCAUCGCGUCGGGAGUGAAAAGCUGGGGCUUAACCCCAGUCCUGCUUCCGAUACGGGUGGACUAGAGGUAGGUAGGGGAGAACGGAAUUCCUGGUGUAGCGGUGAAAUGCGCAGAUAUCAGGAGGAACACCGGUGGCGAAGGCGG